AUGCUGCUGAGCCUCAAGAAAGAUGUGAGGUUUUAUGAAUUUCAGGAUCAUCCAUUCUUUCUCCUUGUCUUCCUGUCACUCACACCCCAUCUGCCCCUCAAGUCAGCUGCACCUGUGUUCCCUUCCCUUCCCUUCCCUUCCCUUCCCUUCCCUUCCCUUCCCUUCCCUUCCCUUCCCUUCCCUUCCCUUCCCUUCCCUUCCCUUCCCUUCCCUUCCCUUCCCUUCCCUUCCCUUCCCUUCCCUUCCCUUCCCUCUUCAGCCUGGAAGAUUCUGUUCUCACUAAUCUCUGACCUCCUGCCAUUGUUUGUGCCCUCAUUCAGGUAUCUCUGUCCUCUUUGGCCAGUCAACUCAUGCAUACUGAAACAUCCCAAGAUUUGCAAGCAGCUGUCACCAGGUGUUAACUGGAGAUAUGCCAGGGCCUUUCCAGGCACUGCGAAUAAUGGUUUAAUUGCUGGGUCUCUGUGUUUGUGCUUCAUCCACUACAAAGAAGAAAAUAAGAGGGAAUAUAAAUAUAGGAAUGGACAUGCUGGUUGUAGGGAGCAGACAGUGUUUCUUUCACAGACCUUUUGA
rnacentral:lncRNA from 1 species